rnacentral:sRNA from 1 species
AAAUUUCCCACUUCGAGGCAGGCGUUGAUGCUGCGGCCGCUUCGCACUGUGGCUCCUGCCGACCGCCAGGCGCUGCUACAGUGGAUGCGAACUACCCAUGCAGCAGCAGCCGGAACCCACAGUUCACCUUGGUGCGUUCCUUUAUGAUGAAGACUUAUUGAUUCAUUAUAUGAGAAAGGAAAAAUGAGCAGAAACUACUGUAUGAUGUGCAGCUCACACCAGACAGCACCUUUAGGAUUUAUUUCUCAUUACUUCUCCUUCAUGGAAAUGAAAUUCAUUUAUCAUCAUAUACUCUCUGACAUAUCAGGAAAGGUGUUGGUUGACAUCAGCUCCAGGCCUAGCAUAGUCCUUUAUGGGGGUUAUCUUUCCAGUUCAGCAGUGCAACUCUAUGGAGUAGAAUUGAAAGGAGACUUUCGCCAAUUGCAGGAAAUGGUCAUAAAAAAAUACCUGUUCACUGACAGAAUAAAGGUGCUUCAUGCAGACAUCUAUACACCAGAUUUACUUCUGCAAAAUGCUGAUGCUAUGAAUAAUGCUUUUGAAUAUUAAUAAGGCAAAACAGACCAG